rnacentral:miRNA from 1 species
UUAGGUUGGUGCAAAAGUAAUUGUGGUUUUUGCCAUUAUUGUCAACUGCAAAAACCACAAUAACUUUUGCACCAACCUAAUA